AUGUCCGGCCUUGACGCGCCAUUCUCUGAGUCCGAGAUUUGGGCGGCCGUCAAGCAGCUACUGGCUGGCAAGGCUCUGGGCCCGGAUGGAUUCACCGCGGAGUUUCUUCACACAUGCUGGGACAUAGUUAAGCAUGACAUCUGCGAUGUCUUCCACAAGCUUUAUCUGAUGAAUGGCUGUGGGUUCCACAAACUGAACGAAGCCCUUCUUACUCUGCUCCAUAAAAAGGUUGAAGCCUCCUCGCUCUUCAACUAUCGCCCCAUCAGCCCGAUCCAUCUCCUGGCCAAGUUGUUCGCGAAGGUGCUCUCUCUGAGGCUGGCCCCCCGUCUCGGCGGCAUUGUGUCAGCCAACCAGAGCGCGUUUAUCGCUGGCCGCGGCGUGCAUGACAACUUCAUGCUGGUUCAGCAAACCGUGCGUCUCCUACACAAUCUCAAGGCGCCGCGAGUUCUCCUCAAGCUCGACAUUGCCCGGGCCUUUGACGCGGUAUCAUGGCCUUUCCUUUUCGAGGUCCUUCGUCACCUUGGCUUUGGGCGAAGAUGGUGUGCUUGGGUGGCGAUUCUCCUAUCGACUUCCUCCACGAGAGUGCUCAUCAAUGGAACCCCCGGACCACCCAUUGACCAUGCCAGCGGACUGAGGCAAGGUGACCCCAUUUCGCAUAUGCUAUUCGUCCUGGUCAUUGACGUGCUCAACACUCUGGUCCAGCACGCCACCAGUCGUGGCAUUCUUCACGCCUCACGAGCAGGCGUGCCAUACCCAGUAUUUCGCUGUUCGUGGACGACGUUGCCCUCUUCUGUCACCCUGACGACCACGACCUCCGGGCGGUACAGGGCAUCCUAA
rnacentral:rRNA from 1 species